rnacentral:sRNA from 1 species
AUUUCUAAAUAUAUUGUGCAUUGUAGAAAAUUAUUGUAAUUUUCAAUGGUAGCGAGGCAUUGAAAUGGAAAAUCAGAUUAAAUAUUUAAAAUGGACAAGAGCCUGCGGCUACCCAGAAUUACGAGUAUGUGCUCUAAUGUGGAUUUUUAUGGUUUAUGCUUGCGCUGGUGAAGAACAGAUGUCGGAUUAAUGUUGAGGUGAAAUCAUGAAUAAAAUGGAUGAAUGGAUGGAUAAUUAGGCAU